rnacentral:rRNA from 1 species
UACGGGGGGAGCAAGCGUUGUUCGGAUUUACUGGGCGUAAAGGGCGCGUAGGCGGCGUGACAAGUCACUUGUGAAAUCUCCGGGCUUAACUCGGAACGGUCAAGUGAUACUGUCGUGCUAGAGUACAGAAGGGGCAACUGGAAUUCUCGGUGUAGCGGUGAAAUGCGUAGAUAUCAGGAAGAACACCAAUGGCGAAGGCAGCUCUCUGGGACGGUACUGACGCUGAGACGCGAAAGCGUGGGGAGCGAACAGG